CCUCCUCCAUUAAUGGCAUUUGCUAGCCCCAAUUCUUCUUAUCCUGCACCCUCACUUAUUCUUCUCUCCAUCUCUCCUUAUCCUGCAAGAAACACACCAUUCUCUCUUCUUCCCUUUCUCCCCCCCACUCUCCCAAUUCAUAUUCUUCCCAUACCAACACUACUCUCUAACAUUAUAUUGUAUCUAAUCUAAUCAUAUCAACAAACUACGUACUAAAACUACACAUACAUACACACAUAUAUAUAUAGA
rnacentral:lncRNA from 1 species